UUAACUACUGAUGACUCAGGAUUAACUAUUAGUGACUGCUGAUUGGCCAUCGCGCGAAGGUCUUCAACCUGGCAUUUACAGAGAUUUACUUGAAUCUUAUUAUCAUCUAGUAUGUAAUAACGAUCAGAAUAGAAGAGGUGGAAUUUCGAGGAAUAUAUUGUUUUAAAGGCCAUUAUCAUUUUUUAAACACUUCAAUGGACAGGGAAAAGUGGAAAGAAAACAGAUAGCCAUUCGGUAAUUGAAGACAGCAACGCAUGACGCGGAUUUCCUUAUAUGGUGAGCGGUCUAGGGUUCCAAUUCUCUUGGUAGAUCUGCUCGAGGUACCUCUACUGCUCUCUUGGUGCUAGGAAUUCUCGUGUAACAGAGGUAUACAUAAAAUUUUUAAAAACGUGUGAAUAAUAAUUCACAUUUUAAACAUCCGUUUACCUGCCAU